AACGAACGCUGGCGGCAUGCCUAACACAUGCAAGUCGAACGAGAUCUUCGGGUCUAGUGGCGCACGGGUGCGUAACGCGUGGGAAUCUGCCCUUUGGCUCGGAAUAACAGUUGGAAACGACUGCUAAUACCGGAUGAUGACGAAAGUCCAAAGAUUUAUCGCCAGAGGAUGGGCCCGCGUAGGAUUAGCUAGUUGGUGUGGUAAAGGCGCACCAAGGCGACGAUCCUUAGCUGGUAUGAGAGGAUGAUCAGCCACACUGGGACUGAGACACGGCCCAGACUCCUACGGGAGGCAGCAGUGGUGAAUAUUGGACAAUGGGCGAAAGCCUGAUCCAGCAAUGCCGCGUGAGUGAUGAAGGCCUUAGGGUUGUAAAGCUCUUUUACCCGGGAUGAUAAUGACAGUACCGGGAGAAUAAGCUCCGGCUAACUCCGUGCCAGCAGCCGCCGUAA
rnacentral:rRNA from 1 species